AAGAUCUCUUUAUUGUCAGUGGACACGAUAGACAGUACUAUGUGUAUAUAUACAUUAUCUUAUUUCAUGCGAUAAAAAAUAAGACUUCUAUGAGCAUGAGUUUGUAGUGAAAAAAAAGCAAGACAUGCACAGAAACAAUUUGCAAAUGAUACAUUUAUUAUCAGCAUGAGUGCUUCAUCUUGCCAGAUGGAAAUUAUACAUUGUCCUCUUUUUUUUUCAAACAAGACCAGACACAUUACAUUCAUUCGUAGCUUAUAUCAUUCUUGUGGAGUCUUCCGCCGGAUUGGUACCUCCAAUGAAAUGAGGCAAAUCAUUUGCAAAUUGUUCCAUGCGGCCUACAAGUGCUUAGCGACACUGCAUGCAACAACGAUUUUGAACAAAUAAAAGAGGCAUCACUAUGAUAUGCAUUUGAUUCAGAACUGAUCAAUCGACUGCGAGUUAAAAGUAGAAGUAAAAAAUUUCAUUCAAGCACAAUUUUUCCCUCAUUGCCCUCCCGUAUAUUUUACUCUUUUGUGAUGUUACAUAAUGAUGUUCCUAGGCAUGUUUCAUGUAAGUUUUCAUAUGGGAAGUUUCAUUUAUUAAAAUAAUAGAUCAAAUAAUGCCAUGUUGAUUGCUAUCGAGAAUGAAAGAAAAAUAUGUCAAAGAGGAAUGCCAAAAAAAAUUGUACGGGUCCAUAUGAUUAAAAAAUGCAUAAAAGGAAUGAUUUGAUUUAGAAGUGUGCCUGAAAAGUGAAAACUAACAUGUAAGCUAUAGAACACAAAUAAGGGAAAGUAUAAGUGCUAAAAUGUAAAAUGACCUAAGAGAUAAGGUUUUCCAGUCCUGCUCUCUCUGCUUCUGUGCGGCACACGAAUAACUCCAUUCAGACAGCGUUGGGCCGAGCACCGCCGUGUGUCGCCGCCCCACGCCCGGCUACCGCAUGCAGCAGCCACACCGCAGGUCGCCGCUCACGGCAACUACGCGCACACACGCAGCAGCCACCGUCGCCCCGCGAGCUUCGCCUGGCCGCGCACUGCCGCAACCACACGUGAGCUUUUCUGACACCCACCGCCCACGGUCGACCUGCGAACCACACACGCACCGUCGCGAAGUGUUGAUUGAUCCCCUCCAUGGCCUCGUGCUCGCCGUCACAGCCCGUCGCCCUGGGGACGGAGAGGGGCAAGAUCCGUGGAGCUGCGCAUGGGGUCAACAUAUCGUCCUCCUGCUCCUCAAUUCUGGUCGGGUAUCGUUUGGUCCGUGCGGCAGAGAUGGUGAAUUCCUCCUUGGGUGCCCCAGGGUGGUGCGGCCUUAUAUUUCAAGAAAUAAAAUCUUAUGGUUACAUGCUAUCAGUUAAGGUGAAUCCGUGAAAGGCCGCUUGAAUUGUAUGCCUCGCUCAGGUAAUGAUUCCUUUGUGCAGAGAGCUCUUCUUGAUGGCCCCAUAAGUAGUAAUUAAUUUGCUACUCAGAAAAAGCAGUGGCUAUUUGUGUUAUGGGACACUGAUUGCUUCUUGUGUUAAAAUGACGAUAUGGCUUUAUAUAUGCGAAAUAAUCAUCCAUGUAUUUAAAGGUCAUCCAA